rnacentral:lncRNA from 1 species
AACCGCUAUGGUUCAUAAUGUAGAUCAGACUCCUUUAGCCAUUUCUCCGGACGACUUGACCCAGAGGUCCAUGAACUCUCAGUUUCAUCCUGACGUUGAAGUGGAGACCGGUUCUGUGGCACAGAAUGGAGAUGGGAGUAGUAGCUGGGGAUUAUCUUUCUCAGACAUGCCGUUGGAUUCAUAUUGGAAAGACCUUGAUGUAGACCUCAGUUCUGUGGCACAGACUGAAGAUUUGAGUCCGAUGUCGACAUCUAAAACAGACACGCCGCGGCCAGGAGGAGGCAAUGCUAAUGAGUUACCCCAGCAGUUCAAUUCCUCUGACCAGCCAUUGAAUUCACUUGCUGGGAAUUUAACUGCUGAUCAGCUGGUGAACUCUCACGGAGACGUUGAAACGGAGGUACGGUGUUCUGAACCAAACCAAAGCCACCUGGAUCAUGAAGAAAGACCAUCUGAUCAAGCUUCAAAUGGACAAAAACAAAGGGGUCGUAAACCAAGGGUAACACCAGUGGAAAAAGCAAAGAACCAACUUGAUCAAGCAGGAAAUCACUUUGAUGUUCGGACUGCCAUGUCGUUUCCAAGUCAAGAAAGUCAGAGCGAGUUCAACCACUGCCCAGAUUUAACCGCUAUGGUUCAUAAUGUAGAUCAGACUCCUUUAGCCAUUUCUCCGGACGACUUGACCCAGAGGUCCUUGAACUCUCAGUUUCAACCUCACGUUGAAGUGGAGACUGGUUCUGUGGCACAGAAUGGAGAUGGGAGUAGUAGUUGGGGAUUACCUUUCUCAGACAUGCCGUUGGAUUCAUAUUGGAAAGACCUUGAUGUAGACCUCAGUUCUGUGGCACAGACUGAAGAUUUGAGUCCGAUAUCGACAUCUAAAACAGACAUGCCGGGGCCAGGAGGAGGCAAUGCUAAUGAGUUACCCCAGCAGUUCAAUUCCUCUGACC